UACGGAGGGUGCAAGCGUUAAUCGGAAUUACUGGGCGUAAAGCGCGCGUAGGCGGUUGUUUAAGCUGGAUGUGAAAGCCCAGGGCUCAACCUUGGAACUGCAUUCAGAACUGGGCGACUAGAGUACGAGAGAGGGUAGUGGAAUUUCCUGUGUAGCGGUGAAAUGCGUAGAUAUAGGAAGGAACAUCAGUGGCGAAGGCGACUGCCUGGCUCGAUACUGACGCUGAGGUGCGAAAGCGUGGGGAGCAAACAGG
rnacentral:misc_RNA from 1 species